AUCCGUAUUGUUCUGUAAAAAACUUACGGAUCAAGUUGAUUUGUAAAAGGCUUACGAAUCAACUUGAUCCGUAAGCCUUUUACAAAACAAUACCGAU
rnacentral:pre_miRNA from 1 species